UUGACUCAGUUUUUCUUUUGUAGUAUUACUAGCGCCUCAAAGACAAUGGUUGAAAAGAGGGGAGCCUUCAAUUGAAGGUUUGUUUAGGCUGAAUACGGGCUGUCGACAAGAAAGCCAAGUGAUCAUAACACGUAUGCAGCUAUUGAGGCUACAUACAAGUAUUUGAGGAGACUUACAACACAAAGUAAGAGGAUAACAUUGCAGCAGUGAUCAAAGUUAGAUUUGAUAAAUUUUUGAUAAUAUGAAAUGGUGACUGUAAAUGAUAAUUAUGUUUAUGGGCUUAUGCAUUUGAUAAUUUAUUUGGAUUUCAAUAAUUGUAGAAUGUGGAUAAAUGAUAUGGGUGCUUUUAGGUGGGGAACUAAUAUGUACACCCCUAGAUUUUGACAAUACU